AACGCGAAGAACCUUACCAGGACUUGACAUCCUUGGAAUUUCUCCGAAAGGAGAGAGUGCUUUAUUGAACCAAGUGACAGGUGAUGCAUGGCCGUCGUCAGCUCGUGUCGUGAGAUGUUUGGUUAAGUCCAUCAACGAGCGCAACCCUUAUGUUUAGUUGAAUUUUUCUAAACAGACUGCCCUGGUAACAGGGAGGAAGGAGGGGAUGAUGUCAGGUCAGUAUUUCCCUUACGUCCUGGGCUACAAACACGCUACAAUGGCCGGUACAAAGGGCAGCCAAGUCGCGAGACGGAGCAAAUCCCAUCAAAGCCGGUCUCAGUUCGGAUUGCAGGCUGAAACUCGCCUGCAUGAAGUCGGAAUCGCUAGUAAUGGUAGGUCAGCUAUACUACCGUGAAUACGUUCCCGGGCCUUGUACACACCGAGACGAC
rnacentral:rRNA from 1 species